GGCCCCGGGAGCGGGCGGAACGGGAGCGGCCCGGCCCUGGCUGAGGAAACAGCCUCCUCCGCCUCCGAGCAGCCCUUGACGAGCGCUGGGACAGGAACAUGGCUCCGUCUGCGGGAGCGUUUGUGGAGGAUGGCAUUUAGCGAGGGCUGGCGUGCCGCUGCUCCCUCAGCCACCCUCAGAGCCCCCUUCGGCAUUUAAUCCCACAUGGGAAGGGGCCCCGGCCUGUGAAACCCGAGCGGCUCAGCCGCGUUUCCACGCAGAUUCCUCCCAUCUCGGCCUGAGCUGGCAAGGGAAGCUCACUGAAUAUUUAAGAAAAAAUUCAGCCAUACUGCUGCCAGCAACCUCUGGGUGAACCAAACCAAAAAAAACCACACUGUGACAGGUGCUGCCCAGGAGGUUUUGAUGGUGAGAUGGCUUCCCAGGACAGCCAGCAGCGAGGACACCCAGCAGCAAUACCGGGUGCAGAGAGGAAUAGCAUCACCUGUAAACAGCUCUCCUGCUGGCCUGGCAAAAGAAGCCUAUCACCAUGUAUCCAACAACUCCCAGCAACCAUCAACAAGUGUAUUCACUCAGCUGAUGGUAUCAAAAUGGGAGGGCUACCAAUCCUAUUCAAAGAUGUUUGGGGGGGACCAAAAAAAAAAUAAAUUCAUCCUCAAAACCACCCUCUCCAACCGAUAAUUUCAUACAAUCUGUUCAGCAAUUUAUAACCUCUUAUAAACUUUAAGAUUUAAAGUUAUUAAAAAGCUACCUUCAAUUA